UAUCAACUGCAGUACCACCAGCAACAAUAUCUGCAGGACCAUCAGCAUCGCAUCAAGAUUUCCUGCAAUAUCGCUCCCAGCACCCAGGUCCAAUAUCUCCAAGAGCUUUUUACCGGUGGAGUCAAUAUGGGGGAGAUGAUCCCUCCUUUAGAUGGAGGAGACAAGCCCCAUAUGACACCACUGGUAGAAGGAGGGGUGCUGGAAAGCGGUUUAACUCUUUUAAUUUCUAACAGUAGCUUUUUUAAACU
rnacentral:lncRNA from 1 species